UCGCCUCUCCAUUGAUCAAGUCUGCAAGGCUUUUGGAGUAGUCACACGUUCAUCUUACUAAUUGCUCAUUCAAAACGUCGUCACCUGUUUGACAAUGCCGCUCUUUCUGUGUGCAUCGGAACAAUACAAGAAAAACUGAUUUGAAGGAGCCAGUAAGACUGUGGGAAUCCAAAGGUCACAAUCCCGAGGCGGGAAAGGAAGAAGGAAAAAGACUGAUGAGGCUGGAACAGUCAUGCGAGGCCAAAGGCCUGGAGUCUGCAGUCACGCAGAGCCUGUGAGGAACGGCAAAGAGCUUACUCCAUAUGAAAAGCUGAGGAAGUCCCUCUUCUCUGGGAGCUAGUGCAUAAUACAACAAGAAUUAAGAAAAAAGAUACAAAAGCUGACUACAAUGGGGUCCAAGAAAUGAUCAAACGGCUGUGAACCGAGUGUUCUGGAAAAUACAAAUAAAGGAUUCAAUGGUGCUGCUCCAGGGAGGUCUACAAGAGGGCUUUGCCAGUAUGACAUAUUUAAGUGGGGCACUACAGCAAGAUAGUUUUGUUGCUGUUGUUUUUGAAGAAACUAGAAAGAGCCAGGUAGCUCUGUGGUGAGCUCUUGUUUAGCGAUGUUCAGGGCCCCCGAGUACUUCCCGGGUACUGCAGACAGUGAAAGAUCGGGGAAGUAGGCUAUAAUGAGCUUCAGAUGCCGCGCUAAGGGUCUUCACUUGUAAUCUGAGGCAGAGGAAAAAACAGUCACAGCUGUUUUUGCAAAGCAGCAGCAUGAGAAGCUAAUGAACUAGCUCACAAGUUCCCAGCCAUUGUUUUCUUUUGUCAUGACUCCCUGUGGCAAUCCAGUGGGGGCUGUGAACAGCUCUUCCAAGAGCGUG